UCAAAAGCAAACUAUUUGUAAAAUGUAGUAGUUUAGGGACUAAAUUUGCCAUUUUAUGAAACUUUGAUGGUACCAAAGUCAAGGGGCUAAAAUUGCAACAUCGUGAAAGUAUGGGGGAUGGGGAGGCAAAGCCGGUGGGGGUUCCACUGACUUUGUCUUUUGACGAGUGGAAACAUAUAGUAAGACAAAACACGAUUCGUAAAACGCAGUGCGUAAAAGACAAUUACAAAAAAAAGUGUAAAACACAAAGGUAGAUACAAAGUGUAAAACACAGUGCCUAAGAGAUUUCGUAAAACACAAUGCAUUGGCAUUUGCAAAAGUAGGAGUUGUAGUCUAGUGGUUACAAUUGCAAUUUUUUUUAAAGUUGGGCGGGUGUAAAAAUGAAGUAAUAGUACAAGGGGUAAAAAAACAAAUUCUAAAAAAGACAAAGUGUAAAAGAAGAGAGUUGGUGCGUAACUAUAUGUAAGAGCUAAGGGGGUGUUGGUGGAAAUGUAAAAGAAGAGGGUUGGUGCGUAACUAUGUAAGAGCUAAGGGGUGAUGGUGGAAAACCAAAGUAGAGGGUUGGUGCUGGCAAAGUUUGAAAGAUGAAGUUGUGGUUUUGAAAAUUCAAAGUAAAAGAUUUAGGGACUAAAUUUGCCAUUUUAUGAAACUUUAAAGGUUACAAAGCCAAGGGGCCAAAAUUGCAAUAUCAUGAAAAUAGGGGGGCAAGGAGGCAAAGCCGGUGGGAAAACCACCGACUUUGUCCUUUAAGAUUGUAUAGAAUGUCCAAUUAAAGAACCUCAUCUUUAUCAGUUUCAACGACUAAACCAUCUCCUCCAAGAGUAUUGAAAAUUUAAUAUACCGUAUAGCGCUACCACAAACUGGUGAGGUGGCAGUUUGAACCCAUGUAUGUCUUACAUCUAACAGGUCAAAUGGUUUAACAAAAAGGAGAAUGGAUCAAAUGGGUCAAACAAGUUGGAAGCUAUAUGUAUUGUACUCAAAUUCUUAAAGACCUCCUAAAAUGCGUUUAUUAUUAUUUUUGUACGGCUAACUCACGCACCCUCUAAACCUACUCCUAAAUCUUCAAAAAAAAAAAAUCACAGGACUAGAACCCUCAACCUUGGUUUAAAAAAGCGUGCUUAAGCGCAAAGCGCAUCUAGGCGCAAACCCCAUCGCCUUGUGUGACAUAAGGCGCACGAUGUAUAAGAAGCGCAACUGAGGCGCGCUUUUUAGGGUGAAAAUCGACCUAAGGCGCAGCUAAGGCGCACGCUUUUUGUACAACAAGCUUUUUAUGUUGUACAUUUAUGUUUUUUUCAUUUUAAAACAUAUAUAAAGCUUAAUUAUAGCUAAAUCAUAGGUGUUGGAUGCUAAACACUUAUGGGAUAUAUAAAAUAAAUUAUAUAAUCACUUUGCGCUUUGUGUACGAAAAGCUCACCGCUUUUGCGCUUCGCUUUUUAAAAAUCGGUUUUAGACCUCAUAUUUUUGUGUGCUUCCCGCUUUUUUAAACCAAGCCCUCAAUCACAUAAGGAGGUAAACCUUGAUACCACUAGGCUACAAGCCCUUUAUCUUAAGAUACUUUUAUUAAUAGAAGAUCUAACUAAUUUAGUUAAGUCAUAUUGUACACAUAUAUAACUUUAAAAAUAGAAGAAAUGAACAAAAAGAGUGAGUGUAGGUUGGCCUAGCCCGUAAUUUGACCAUUUUGACCCAUUACUCAAAUCCACCCAUUCAGCCACCGCUAUCAAAAAGGCAAAUGAAGAUAUUUUCUAACAUGUUCACUUACCAAUUUGGCUAAUGCUUGCAUCUUGUUAUUCAUACAAGUUUAGGUACCUUAGGUAAUCAUGCAAAAGGGGCAUAUUUGAUAUUUUUUUUAUAAGUUUAGGACUUCAACACGCAAAAAAAAAAAAGAAAAUUUUGUUAAAAACAUGUAUGAUUUUUUUUUUUGAGUAAAUUGCGGUUUUGGGCCUUGGGGUUUAGUGGUUAUUGCUAUAUUUUACAAAAUCCAAAUGUUUUGCAAUUUUCAUGCUGAGGUAUCUUUGUUAUUUCGGUUUUGGUAUGAAAAUUGCAAGACAAUUUAAUUUUGUAAAAUAUAGCAAUAACCACUAAACCACAAGGGCCAAAACUGCAAUUUACUCUUUUUUUUUUUAAUUUUCAUGUAAAAAUAAAGUCCAAGGACUUAUGUAUUAGUUCAAUGAAAGUCAUGGAACAAUUUUAAUAG
rnacentral:lncRNA from 1 species